rnacentral:lncRNA from 1 species
GCCACAGAAGCAGAAGUAUCUGUGGAGGUACCAGAUUCACCUGUUACAGAUGAAGUUUCUACUGAAUCUCCACAGAAAAAAAUCUUGAACCUCCAUAUCAUUGGUCGAUUCAUUGGUCAGUUCCUCAACAACUGUUGCCAACAAGGUAGCACUGAUACAGACAUGGACACCGGAUACGACACGGACACUAUAAAUUCAGAUGCUAAAAGUUUGGUUUCUGAAGAAGACUUAGAUGCUGUAAAUUCAAUUAUUGAAGACCUCAACAACUGUUGCCAACAAGGUAGCACGGAUACGGACAUGGACACCGGAUACAACACAGACACUGUAAAUUCAGAUGCUGAAAGUUUGGUUUUUGAAGAGGACUUAGAUGCUGUAAAUUCA